CAUAGAUCAAAAACUGCCCUUAGUCCUGCAAUACGAUUCGCCUCUUAGUUUAGCGCUUUUGCUAACUCAAUCUAACCUCGACUAAUGGAGCUCGAUUAGGCGGAAUAGCAACCACUUUAUUGCUACCAAAACACACAAAUAAUCACAGAUUUAUCGUAGUCAUCAAAUUAUAACAAUGGUUUUUCUACACCAGUACAUAUAGACGGACACACAGUUACGAGGGACUGUAACAGCGGGAGGGGAAGCGCCAGGCGAAAUCUUCUUAGAUGGAAACUUCGCAGUCGAGCUUUAAUCAUAUAUCUCCCAACGGCCAAACUUCCUCGUGGGAUACAACUCUAACGCCAGCAACACUUUUAACAUAAAUCGGAUUCACACGGCAAAAGUACUUGCAAAUCUGCUGGGCACAACACUUCACCAAAGAGGCACUCUGCUCGUUGACCAAACCAGAAAAAAAAAUAAUGACACUGGCCUCCGUCCACUCUACAAGGAAGGCCAGUGCAGUUCCAAAUUUUGUUUAUCUAUACGAAGAAAAUAGAAACCAAACACCACGAAACAUUCACUACAUCGGUCAAACAUCCACUUUUAAUUUGGCUACUCACAUUGUAUGAUACACAAAUAAAAGUUCACACACAAAGUC